rnacentral:rRNA from 1 species
GACGAACCGUGCGAACGUUGUUCGGAAUCAUUGGGCUUAAAGGGCGCGUAGGCGGGUGGACAAGUCAGGGGUGAAAGCCCACGGCUCAACCGUGGAAGUGCCUUUGAUACUGUCCGCCUGGAGGGAGGUAGGGGCGUGCGGAACUUCCGGUGGAGCGGUGAAAUGCGUAGAUAUCGGAAGGAACACCGGUGGCGAAAGCGGCGCGCUGGACCUCUUCUGACGGCUGAGGCGGCGAAAGCCAGGGGAAGCCGGAACGGGG